AUAAUACUCCCUCUGUCCCAAAAUUCUUGUCUUAGAUUUGUCUAAAUAUGGAUGUAUCAAGUCACGUUUUAGUAUUAGAUACAUUUGUAUCUAGAAAAAUUUAAGACAAGAAUUUUGGGAUGGAGGGAGUAUGCA
rnacentral:pre_miRNA from 1 species